AUUGAACGCUGGCGGCAGGCUUAACACAUGCAAGUCGAGCGGAGUGAUGGUGCUUGCACUAUCACUUAGCGGCGGACGGGUGAGUAAUGCUUAGGAAUCUGCCUAUUAGUGGGGGACAACAUCUCGAAAGGGAUGCUAAUACCGCAUACGUCCUACGGGAGAAAGCAGGGGAGCACUUGUGACCUUGCGCUAAUAGAUGAACCUAAGUCGGAUUAGCGAGUUGGUGGGGUAAAGGCCUACCAAGGCGACGAUCUGUAGCGGGUCUGAGAGGAUGAUCCGCCACACUGGGACUGAGACACGGCCCAGACUCCUACGGGAGGCAGCAGUGGGGAAUAUUGGACAAUGGGGGGAACCCUGACCCAGCCGUGCCGCGUGUGUGAAGAAGGCCUUAUGGUUGUAAAGCACUUUAAGCGAGGAGGAGGCUCUUUUGGUUAAUACCCAAGAUGAGUGGACGUUACUCGCAGAAUAAGCACCGGCUAACUCUGUGCCAGCCGCCGCAGUAA
rnacentral:rRNA from 1 species